AUUGAACGCUGGCGGCAGGCCUAACACAUGCAAGUCGAACGGUAACAGGAAGCAGCUUGCUGCUUUGCUGACGAGUGGCGGACGGGUGAGUAAUGUCUGGGAAACUGCCUGAUGGAGGGGGAUAACUACUGGAAACGGUAGCUAAUACCGCAUAACGUCGCAAGACCAAAGAGGGGGACCUUCGGGCCUCUUGCCAUCGGAUGUGCCCAGAUGGGAUUAGCUAGUAGGUGGGGUAAAGGCUCACCUAGGCGACGAUCCCUAGCUGGUCUGAGAGGAUGACCAGCCACACUGGAACUGAGACACGGUCCAGACUCCUACGGGAGGCAGCAGUGGGGAAUAUUGCACAAUGGGCGCAAGCCUGAUGCAGCCAUGCCGCGUGUAUGAAGAAGGCCUUCGGGUUGUAAAGUACCUUCAGCGGGGAGGAAGGGAGUAAAGUUAAUACCUUCGCUCAUUGACGUUACCCGCAGAAGAAGCACCGGCUAACUCCGUGCCAGCAGCCGCGGUAAUACGGGAGGGUGCAAGCGUUAAUCGGAAUUACUGGGCGUAAAAGCGCACGCAGGCGGUUUGUUAAGUCAGAUGUGAAAUCCCCGGGCUCAACCUGGGAACUGCAUCUGAUACUGGCAAGCUUGAGUCUCGUAGAGGGGGGUAGAAUUCCAGGUGUAGCGGUGAAAUGCGUAGAGAUCUGGAGGAAUACCGGUGGCGAAGGCGGCCCCCUGGACGAAGACUGACGCUCAGGUGCGAAAGCGUGGGGAGCAAACAGGAUUAGAUCCCUGGUAGUCCACGCCGUAAACGAUGUCGACUUGGAGGUUGUGCCCUUGAGGCGUGGCUUCCGGAGCUAACGCGUUAAGUCGACCCGCCUGGGGAGUACGGCCGCAAGGUUAAAACUCAAAUGAAUUGACGGGGGCCCGCACAAGCGGUGGAGCAUGUGGUUUAAUUCGAUGCAACGCGAAGAACCUUACCUGGUCUUGACAUCCACGGAAGUUUUCAGAGAUGAGAAUGUGCCUUCGGGAACCGUGAGACAGGUGCUGCAUGGCUGUCGUCAGCUCGUGUUGUGAAAUGUUGGGUUAAGUCCCGCAACGAGCGCAACCCUUAUCCUUUGUUGCCAGCGGUCCGGCCGGGAACUCAAAGGAGACUGCCAGUGAUAAACUGGAGGAAGGUGGGGAUGACGUCAAGUCAUCAUGGCCCUUACGACCAGGGCUACACACGUGCUACAAUGGCGCAUACAAAGAGAAGCGAUCUCGCGAGAGCAAGCGGACCUCAUAAAGUGCGUCGUAGUCCGGAUUGGAGUCUGCAACUCGACUCCAUGAAGUCGGAAUCGCUAGUAAUCGUGGAUCAGAAUGCCACGGUGAAUACGUUCCCGGGCCU
rnacentral:rRNA from 1 species